UACGAAGGGGGCUAGCGUUGCUCGGAAUCACUGGGCGUAAAGGGUGCGUAGGCGGGUCUUUAAGUCAGGGGUGAAAUCCUGGAGCUCAACUCCAGAACUGCCUUCGAUACUGUAGAGCUUGAGACCGGAAGAGGUAAGUGGAACUGCGAGUGUAGAGGUGAAAUUCGUAGAUAUUCGCAAGAACACCAGUGGCGAAGGCGGCUUACUGGUCCGGUUCUGACGCUGAGGCGCGAAAGCGUGGGGAGCAAACAGG
rnacentral:rRNA from 1 species